CCUACGGGGGGCUGCAGUGGGGAAUAUUGGACAAUGGGGGGGACCCUGAUCCAGCCAUGCCGCGUGUGUGAAGAAGGCCCUCGGGUUGUAAAGCACUUUCAGUGAGGAAGAACGCCUGGUGGUUAAUACCCAUCAGGAAAGACAUCACUCACAGAAGAAGCACCGGCUAACUCCGUGCCAGCAGCCGCGGUAAUACGGAGGGUGCGAGCGUUAAUCGGAAUUACUGGGCGUAAAGCGCGCGUAGGUGGCUUGAUAAGCCGGUUGUGAAAGCCCCGGGCUCAACCUGGGAACGGCAUCCGGAACUGUCAAGCUAGAGUGCAGGAGAGGAAGGUAGAAUUCCCGGUGUAGCGGUGAAAUGCGUAGAGAUCGGGAGGAAUACCAGUGGCGAAGGCGGCCUUCUGGACUGACACUGACACUGAGGUGCGAAAGCGUGGGUAGCAAACAGGAUUAGAUACCCGGGUAGUC
rnacentral:rRNA from 1 species